GCCGCCGUGGCUUAGCCCGGUUAGAGCGGCUGAUUCGUAUGAGCCUCAGGCUCCGGGAUAUCAGCAGUUCAUGGGUUCGAAUCCCAUCGGCGGCU
rnacentral:tRNA from 2 species